rnacentral:rRNA from 1 species
GACGUAGGGCGCGAGCGUUGUCCGGAUUUAUUGGGCGUAAAGAGCUCGUAGGCGGCUCAUUGCGUCAACCGUGAAAACCAGCAGCUCAACUGUUGGCUUGCGGUUGAUACGGGUGGGCUGGAGUUCGGUAGGGGAGACUGGAAUUCCUGGUGUAGCGGUGAAAUGCGCAGAUAUCAGGAGGAACACCGGUGGCGAAGGCGGGUCUCUGGGCAUUACCUGACGCUGAGGCGCGAAAGCUAGGGGAGCGAACGGG